rnacentral:rRNA from 1 species
GAUGAACGCUGGCGGCGUGCCUAAUACAUGCAAGUCGAGCGAACGGACGAGAAGCUUGCUUCUCUGAUGUUAGCGGCGGACGGGUGAGUAACACGUGGAUAACCUACCUAUAAGACUGGGAUAACUUCGGGAAACCGGAGCUAAUACCGGAUGAUAUUUUGAACCGCAUGGUUCAAAAGUGAAAGACGGUCUUGCUGUCACUGAUAGCUGGAUCCGCGCUGCAUUAGCUAGUUGGUAAGGUAACGGCUUACCAAGGCAACGAUGCAUAGCCGACCUGAGAGGGUGAUCGGCCACACUGGAACUGAGACACGGUACAGACUCCUACGGGAGGCAGCAGUAGGGAAUCUUCCGCAAUGGGCGAAAGCCUGACGGAGCAACGCCGCGUGAGUGAUGCAGGUCUUCGGAUCGUAAAACUCUGUUAUUAGGGAAGAACAUAUGUGUAAGUAACUGUGCACAUCUUGACGGUACCUAAUCAGAAAGCCACGGCUAACUACGUG